rnacentral:rRNA from 1 species
CGUUGCACUAUCGUUAACUGAAUACAUAGGUUAACGAGGCGAACCGGGGGAACUGAAACAUCUAAGUACCCCGAGGAAAAGAAAUCAACCGAGAUUCCCCCAGUAGCGGCGAGCGAACGGGGAGCAGCCCGGAGUCUGAAUCAGCUUGUGUGUUAGUGGAACGGUCUGGAAAGUCCGACGGUACAGGGUGAUAGUCCCGUACACGAAAGCACACAUGCUGUGAACUCGAAGAGUAGGGCGGGACACGUGGUAUCCUGUCUGAAUAUGGGGGGACCAUCCUCCAAGGCUAAAUACUCCUGACUGACCGAUAGUGAACCAGUACCGUGAGGGAAAGGCGAAAAGAACCCCGGCGAGGGGAGUGAAAAAGAACCUGAAACCGUGUACGUACAAGCAGUGGGAGCCUCUUUAUGGGGUGACUGCGUACCUUUUGUAUAAUGGGUCAGCGACUUAUAUUCUGUAGCAAGGUUAACCGUAUAGGGGAGCCGAAGGGAAACCGAGUCUUAACUGGGCGUUAAGUUGCAGGGUAUAGACCCGAAACCCGGUGAUCUAGCCAUGGGCAGGUUGAAGGUUGGGUAACACUAACUGGAGGACCGAACCGACUAAUGUUGAAAAAUUAGCGGAUGACCUGUGGCUGGGGGUGAAAGGCCAAUCAAACCGGGAGAUAGCUGGUUCUCCCCGAAAGCUAUUUAGGUAGCGCCUCGUGAACUCAUCUUCGGGGGUAGAGCACUGUUUCGGCUAGGGGGCCAUCCCGGCUUACCAACCCGAUGCAAACUACGAAUACCGAAGAAUGUUAUCACGGGAGACACACGGCGGGUGCUAACGUCCGUCGUGAAGAGGGAAACAACCCAGACCGCCAGCUAAGGUCCCAAAGUCAUGGUUAAGUGGGAAACGAUGUGGGAAGGCACAGACAGCCAGGAUGUUGGCUUAGAAGCAGCCAUCAUUUAAAGAAAGCGUAAUAGCUCACUGGUCGAGUCGGCCUGCGCGGAAGAUGUAACGGGGCUAAACCAUGCACCGAAGCUGCGGCAGCGAC